CGACAGGACAGGACGGGACAGAGCGGUGCCGUGAGGAGCGCUCGUUCCUGUCUGACCUGGAGCUUUUCCGAGGCGUUAUCCCUACAGGUGUCCUCGUGGCAAGACUGCGGGUCUUGGUGGCCUGUGGCCUUCCCGAGGCUUCUCUUUUGCUGGUGCCUCCGAGGCCAGACUCAGGGACUUGGUGACUCAGAGCUUUUCUGAGGCAUCUCCCAUCCUUCUGGCCUGCACACUCGAGGCGAGACCCUGGCACUUAGUGACCAAAGCCAUUUAAGAGGUGUUUCCUGUCCUUGUGGCAGGAGCCCUUGAGAACAAAGUGCAGGACUUGCUGUCCUGUAAUCUUCCUGAGGCUUCUCUGUCUCAGGUUCCUUCAAGGCACAACUGAAGGACUUGCUGAUUCAGAAAUUUCACAAGGCACCCCUCUUUAAGGUGCCCUCAAAUCCAGAUUCUGGAAUGGCAGGCACAUUUCUCAGCCUAUUUAAAGACUUCAGGGGGAAAAAGAACAAAGGCCCUGGAGCUGUCCCAGAAAAACGGCUUGAGGAGCCCAAGCACUUCCAGCCAUUGCAGGAUGAUGCAGCCGUGGAGCGCACACAAGUGCAGCAAUCCAGCCGUGGCUGCUUCCGCAGAACAGCGCAGCUCGUUUGCAAAUUCAUCAAGAGGAUUCGGCAGGAAGAGACCAUCACCAGGGGCGCUGCGUACAGACCAUACUCGCCCAUCUUCCAAAGCAAGACCAGUGCUGCCCUGCUGUAUAUGCUUGUAGAGGAAGAUUGUUACCAUCCAAAGCAAGUAAGCAGCCUGUGGCCAGCGUUUCAU